rnacentral:rRNA from 1 species
CGAAUGCUGACAUAAGUAACGAUAAAGCGGGUGAAAAGCCCGCUCGCCGGAAGACCAAGGGUUCCUGUCCAACGUUAAUCGGGGCAGGGUGAGUCGACCCCUAAGGCGAGGCCGAAAGGCGUAGUCGAUGGGAAACAGGUUAAUAUUCCUGUACUUGGUGUUACUGCGAAGGGGGGACGGAGAAGGCUAUGUUGGCCGGGCGACGGUUGUCCCGGUUUAAGCGUGUAGGCUGGUUUUCCAGGCAAAUCCGGAAAAUCAAGGCUGAGGCGUGAUGACGAGGCACUACGGUGCUGAAGCAACAAAUGCCCUGCUUCCAGGAAAAGCCUCUAAGCAUCAGGUAACAUCAAAUCGUACCCCAAACCGACACAGGUGGUCAGGUAGAGAAUACCAAGGCGCUUGAGAGAACUCGGGUGAAGGAACUAGGCAAAAUGGUGCCGUAACUUCGGGAGAAGGCACGCUGAUAUGUAGGUGAAGCGACUUGCUCGUGGAGCUGAAAUCAGUCGAAGAUACCAGCUGGCUGCAACUGUUUAUUAAAAACACAGCACUGUGCAAACACGAAAGUGGACGUAUACGGUGUGACGCCUGCCCGGUGCCGGAAGGUUAAUUGAUGGGGUCAGCGCAAGCGAAGCUCUUGAUCGAAGCCCCGGUAAACGGCGGCCGUAACUAUAACGGUCCUAAGGUAGCGAAAUUCCUUGUCGGGUAAGUUCCGACCUGCACGAAUGGCGUAAUGAUGGCCAGGCUGUCUCCACCCGAGACUCAGUGAAAUUGAACUCGCUGUGAAGAUGCAGUGUACCCGCGGCAAGACGGAAAGACCCCGUGAACCUUUACUAUAGCUUGACACUGAACAUUGAGCCUUGAUGUGUAGGAUAGGUGGGAGGCUUUGAAGUGUGGACGCCAGUCUGCAUGGAGCCGACCUUGAAAUACCACCCUUUAAUGUUUGAUGUUCUAACGUGGACCCGUAAUCCGGGUUGCGGACAGUGUCUGGUGGGUAGUUUGACUGGGGCGGUCUCCUCCUAAAGAGUAACGGAGGAGCACGAAGGUUGGCUAAUCCUGGUCGGACAUCAGGAGGUUAGUGCAAUGGCAUAAGCCAGCUUGACUGCGAGCGUGACGGCGCGAGCAGGUGCGAAAGCAGGUCAUAGUGAUCCGGUGGUUCUGAAUGGAAGGGCCAUCGCUCAACGGAUAAAAGGUACUCCGGGGAUAACAGGCUGAUACCGCCCAAGAGUUCAUAUCGACGGCGGUGUUUGGCACCUCGAUGUCGGCUCAUCACAUCCUGGGGCUGAAGUAGGUCCCAAGGGUAUGGCUGUUCGCCAUUUAAAGUGGUACGCGAGCUGGGUUUAGAACGUCGUGAGACAGUUCGGUCCCUAUCUGCCGUGGGCGCUGGAGAACUGAGGGGGGCUGCUCCUAGUACGAGAGGACCGGAGUGGACGCAUCACUGGUGUUCGGGUUGUCAUGCCAAUGGCACUGCCCGGUAGCUAAAUGCGGAAGAGAUAAGUGCUGAAAGCAUCUAAGCACGAAACUUGCCCCGAGAUGAGUUCUCCCUGACUCCUUGAGAGUCCUGAAGGAACGUUGAAGACGACGACGUUGAUAGGCCGGGUGUGUAAGCGCAGCGAUGCGUUGAGCUAACCGGUACUAAUGAACCGUGAGG